GUAUCCCCUAGAGUUCCUUCAAUCACUUCACCAAAAUUAAGAUCUUAAUGUAUAUCAUAUAUUAAUUAAGAUUAUUUAAUAUUUCUGAUGAAGUGUUUGGAGGAACUCUGGGUGUCAU
rfam:Macleaya cordata isolate BLH2017 scaffold7199, whole genome shotgun sequence.